rnacentral:lncRNA from 1 species
UGCUGCUUGGAUAUCAGGUUGCUAAAGCUUUAGUCACUCGUUUGAGUUUAGAACUAGAUCUGGUAUAUAAAAACACAGUCUAGCUAGAAAAAAAAUACAUGCCUCAUAAUUUUAUCUGUCUUUGUGUAAUCUGAUAGAGAUGAUGGAUCAUUUAGAAGACAUCGUAUCUCAAGUACCAAGCUGUGGAGAACUGGACAAGGAGAUGUUUCUUUCUUUUCCUGCACCUGUGUCUUGCCAACAAACACUAUAUGUGCCAUCACAAACUGAUGACAAGGAGGAGCAAGCAAUCGAUGGUCAGGUUGUGACUGCGAUGAAGGCAAUAACAACAGUACUGGAGCAAGAAAUCCCAGAGCAGCUUGACAGACAAAAACUUAUACAUGAGACAGGCAUACCUGCUUUGAAGCAUAUUUUAGAAGAUAUACAGCUGAAAGGACCAGGACAUGUAACUUUUAAAAUUCUGGUUGUACUCUUUUUGGUUAAAUUAUGG